rnacentral:rRNA from 1 species
AUUGAACGCUGGCGGCAUGCCUUACACAUGCAAGUCGAACGGUAACAGGUCUUCGGAUGCUGACGAGUGGCGAACGGGUGAGUAAUACAUCGGAACGUGCCCGAUCGUGGGGGAUAACUACUCGAAAGAGUAGCUAAUACCGCAUACGAUCUACGGAUGAAAGCGGGGGAUCUUCGGACCUCGUGCGGACGGAGCGGCCGAUGGCAGAUUAGGUAGUUGGUGGGAUAAAAGCUUACCAAGCCGACGAUCUGUAGCUGGUCUGAGAGGACGACCAGCCACACUGGGACUGGGACACGGCCCAGACUCCUACGGGAGGCAGCAGUGGGGAAUUUUGGACAAUGGGCGAAAGCCUGAUCCAGCAAUGCCGCGUGCAGGAUGAAGGCCUUCGGGUUGUAAACUGCUUUUGUACGGAACGAAAAGACUCCUUCUAAUACAGGGGGUCCAUGACGGUACCGUAAGAAUAAGCACCGGCUAACUACGUGCCAGCAGCCGCCGUAAGAC